rnacentral:rRNA from 1 species
GGUUAAGCGACUAAGCGUACACGGUGGAUGCCCUGGCAGUCAGAGGCGAUGAAGGACGUGCUAAUCUGCGAUAAGCGUCGGUAAGGUGAUAUGAACCGUUAUAACCGGCGAUUUCCGAAUGGGGAAACCCAGUGUGAUUCGUCACACUAUCAUUAACUGAAUCCAUAGGUUAAUGAGGCGAACCGGGGGAACUGAAACAUCUAAGUACCCCGAGGAAAAGAAAUCAACCGAGAUUCCCCCAGUAGCGGCGAGCGAACGGGGAGCAGCCCAGAGCCUGAAUCAGUGUGUGUGUUAGUGGAAGCGUCUGGAAAGGCGCGCGAUACAGGGUGACAGCCCCGUACACAAAAAUGCACAUGCUGUGAGCUCGAUGAGUAGGGCGGGACACGUGGUAUCCUGUCUGAAUAUGGGGGGACCAUCCUCCAAGGCUAAAUACUCCUGACUGACCGAUAGUGAACCAGUACCGUGAGGGAAAGGCGAAAAGAACCCCGGCGAGGGGAGUGAAAAAGAACCUGAAACCGUGUACGUACAAGCAGUGGGAGCACGCUUAGGCGUGUGACUGCGUACCUUUUGUAUAAUGGGUCAGCGACUUAUAUUCUGUAGCAAGGUUAACCGAAUAGGGGAGCCGAAGGGAAACCGAGUCUUAACUGGGCGUUAAGUUGCAGGGUAUAGACCCGAAACCCGGUGAUCUAGCCAUGGGCAGGUUGAAGGUUGGGUAACACUAACUGGAGGACCGAACCGACUAAUGUUGAAAAAUUAGCGGAUGACUUGUGGCUGGGGGUGAAAGGCCAAUCAAACCGGGAGAUAGCUGGUUCUCCCCGAAAGCUAUUUAGGUAGCGCCUCGUGAAUUCAUCUCCGGGGGUAGAGCACUGUUUCGGCAAGGGGGUCAUCCCGACUUACCAACCCGAUGCAAACUGCGAAUACCGGAGAAUGUUAUCACGGGAGACACACGGCGGGUGCUAACGUCCGUCGUGAAGAGGGAAACAACCCAGACCGCCAGCUAAGGUCCCAAAGUCAUGGUUAAGUGGGAAACGAUGUGGGAAGGCCCAGACAGCCAGGAUGUUGGCUUAGAAGCAGCCAUCAUUUAAAGAAAGCGUAAUAGCUCACUGGUCGAGUCGGCCUGCGCGGAAGAUGUAACGGGGCUAAACCAUGCACCGAAGCUGCGGCAGCGACACUAUGUGUUGUUGGGUAGGGGAGCGUUCUGUAAGCCUGUGAAGGUGUGCUGUGAGGCAUGCUGGAGGUAUCAGAAGUGCGAAUGCUGACAUAAGUAACGAUAAAGCGGGUGAAAAGCCCGCUCGCCGGAAGACCAAGGGUUCCUGUCCAACGUUAAUCGGGGCAGGGUGAGUCGACCCCUAAGGCGAGGCCGAAAGGCGUAGUCGAUGGGAAACAGGUUAAUAUUCCUGUACUUGGUGUUACUGCGAAGGGGGGACGGAGAAGGCUAUGUUGGCCGGGCGACGGUUGUCCCGGUUUAAGCGUGUAGGCUGGUUUUCCAGGCAAAUCCGGAAAAUCAAGGCUGAGGCGUGAUGACGAGGCACUACGGUGCUGAAGCAACAAAUGCCCUGCUUCCAGGAAAAGCCUCUAAGCAUCAGGUAACAUCAAAUCGUACCCCAAACCGACACAGGUGGUCAGGUAGAGAAUACCAAGGCGCUUGAGAGAACUCGGGUGAAGGAACUAGGCAAAAUGGUGCCGUAACUUCGGGAGAAGGCACGCUGAUAUGUAGGUGAAGUCCCUCGCGGAUGGAGCUGAAAUCAGUCGAAGAUACCAGCUGGCUGCAACUGUUUAUUAAAAACACAGCACUGUGCAAACACGAAAGUGGACGUAUACGGUGUGACGCCUGCCCGGUGCCGGAAGGUUAAUUGAUGGGGUUAGCGCAAGCGAAGCUCUUGAUCGAAGCCCCGGUAAACGGCGGCCGUAACUAUAACGGUCCUAAGGUAGCGAAAUUCCUUGUCGGGUAAGUUCCGACCUGCACGAAUGGCGUAAUGAUGGCCAGGCUGUCUCCACCCGAGACUCAGUGAAAUUGAACUCGCUGUGAAGAUGCAGUGUACCCGCGGCAAGACGGAAAGACCCCGUGAACCUUUACUAUAGCUUGACACUGAACAUUGAGCCUUGAUGUGUAGGAUAGGUGGGAGGCUUUGAAGUGUGGACGCCAGUCUGCAUGGAGCCGACCUUGAAAUACCACCCUUUAAUGUUUGAUGUUCUAACGUUGACCCGUAAUCCGGGUUGCGGACAGUGUCUGGUGGGUAGUUUGACUGGGGCGGUCUCCUCCUAAAGAGUAACGGAGGAGCACGAAGGUUGGCUAAUCCUGGUCGGACAUCAGGAGGUUAGUGCAAUGGCAUAAGCCAGCUUGACUGCGAGCGUGACGGCGCGAGCAGGUGCGAAAGCAGGUCAUAGUGAUCCGGUGGUUCUGAAUGGAAGGGCCAUCGCUCAACGGAUAAAAGGUACUCCGGGGAUAACAGGCUGAUACCGCCCAAGAGUUCAUAUCGACGGCGGUGUUUGGCACCUCGAUGUCGGCUCAUCACAUCCUGGGGCUGAAGUAGGUCCCAAGGGUAUGGCUGUUCGCCAUUUAAAGUGGUACGCGAGCUGGGUUUAGAACGUCGUGAGACAGUUCGGUCCCUAUCUGCCGUGGGCGCUGGAGAACUGAGGGGGGCUGCUCCUAGUACGAGAGGACCGGAGUGGACGCAUCACUGGUGUUCGGGUUGUCAUGCCAAUGGCACUGCCCGGUAGCUAAAUGCGGAAGAGAUAAGUGCUGAAAGCAUCUAAGCACGAAACUUGCCCCGAGAUGAGUUCUCCCUGACCCUUUAAGGGUCCUGAAGGAACGUUGAAGACGACGACGUUGAUAGGCCGGGUGUGUAAGCGCAGCGAUGCGUUGAGCUAACCGGUACUAAUGAACCGUGAGGCUUAGCCUU